GAGAGAGAGAGAGAGAGAGAGAGAGAGAGAGGCACAAAAAACGUUCUACCACUGCACGUUCGCUAUUAAUAACCGUGAUCUGUGUAGCACAGUACUUCAAAACAAUUUCAUCUCGCUUUUGUGCUCACUAUCCCACAUUGCACUGCUUGUUCCUUAUUUCCCUCUGUAUACGCCUUCCGUGUGCUUCCUUGCAUCUCUUUCUUUCUCUGCCCGCCC
rnacentral:miRNA from 1 species